ensembl:lncRNA
GUGAACACAGGACAGGUGAACAAUGAUGGUACAACCUGAUGAGAGCUCAGAGGGGGAGCAGCCUGCUAGGAGCUUCUGCCGGUGGGAAGGGCCAGGUAAGCCCCAAGCCUGCCCUUGUUCAAGGCCGGGGGAUGGCCGGCUGCCCUCCACCUGCACUCCAGCAGAUGGCGCUGUGGGGGCUGCCUCCCCUGCCCUCCACCUGCACUCCAGCAGGCAGCGCUGUGGACUUCGGCUGGGGCUGCCUCUACGCGGGGACGCAUGGAGAGCCCAAGAGAGGCAGGACGGGCGAUGUUUCCACUUGCAAAGUGGGGAGAGCAUCCUUCAUGGUCCCCAUGCCCCCUCGCUCCAGAGAAGAGGAGUGGGGUGAAAAUCCAAGCCCAUUUUCAAGUGCUUCGUUUCUAAAUUAUCCUGGAACUGUGGCGUUUGGAGUUGAGAAGAACCUUCGAGAUCUCAUCCCAGACAGAACAAACCGUGCGCAUUCCCUGAUCUCUGAAUAUAGCCCCCACCCGGCGCUGAGGUGCUGGGGUUUGGUUUCUCCUACAGAGGGAUCUUCCCUCUACUGUUAGGGCCCCGUCAGGCAGGUGAGAAGGUCGGGUCUCAGAGAGGCUGAGAGACUCACACCAGGGCCUGCAGCCCCUGACUGGGAGGCAGGGCUGGAAGUCUGACCCCACACGCCCAAACCGGAAGCUCUUGAUGAUGCGGUCUGCAGCCCCAAGGCCCCUGGAGGGCUGGACACCCCAGCUCCCUGCCCUGCAGCCUUCUCCUGUAGUAAGGACCUUGACGAUCCAUCUUCAUCCUCAUCCAACCAGGCCCACCUCUCAGACUCCAGAACUGCAGCCCUGAACAGGGCACACAGGGGCCUCCUGGGGCCUGAGUCUGUGUCCCCAUCAGAGGAGAGCACUGGGGUGUCUGGGCAGCUGACGCUGUUUAGAUCAGAAGGUGAGAGAAGGUGGCCAAGACCUGGCAGGGAGAUGGCAGGUGCAAAGGCCCAGGGCAGAGACCAGCCUGAUUUGCUGUGAUCACAUCUGAGAAAGAAAGGGAACCAUGGGUGUGACUGAAAGGUCCUCAGGUCACCGUGAUCAUCAUCAUUGGCCUCCUCACAGUAGCUGAUGUUUAUAGAAUGCUUGCUCAACACAGGCUCAGUGCUAACAA